GAUGAACGCUGGCGGCGUGCCUAAUACAUGCAAGUCGAGCGAACGGACGAGAAGCUUGCUUCUCUGAUGUUAGCGGCGGACGGGUGAGUAACACGUGGAUAACCUACCUAUAAGACUGGGAUAACUUCGGGAAACCGGAGCUAAUACCGGAUAAUAUUUUGAACCGCAUGGUCCAAAAGUGAAAGACGGUCUUGCUGUCACUUAUAGAUGAAUCCGCGCUGCAUUAGCUAGUUGGUAAGGUAACGGCUUACCAAGGCAACGAUGCAUAGCCGACCUGAGAGGGUGAUCGGCCACACUGGAACUGAGACACGGUCCAGACUCCUACGGGAGGCAGCAGUAGGGAAUCUUCCGCAAUGGGCGAAAGCCUGACGGAGCAACGCCGCGUGAGUGAUGAAGGUCUUCGGAUCGUAAAACUCUGUUAUUAGGGAAGAACAUAUGUGUAAGUAACUGUGCACAUCUUGACGGUACCUAAUCAGAAAGCCACGGCUAACUACGUG
rnacentral:rRNA from 1 species